UAGAAUAGAAUAGAAUAGAAAAGUAGAGAAAGGAAGGGAAGAAUGAUAAUUGAUUAUGUUGUUAGAUGUUGCUUUGUUGUUGUUGUUGAUGUUGUUACUGCUGCUUCGUCA
rnacentral:ribozyme from 14 species